rnacentral:tRNA from 1 species
UCCGGCAUAGCUCAGUGGUAGAGCGGGUCGCUGUUAACGACUAGGUCGCUGGUUCGAGCCCAGCUGCCGGAGCCA